rnacentral:rRNA from 1 species
UGCGUAGGCGGCCCUUUAAGUCGGAUGUGAAAGCCCGCGGCUUAACCGCGGAAUGGCAUUCGAAACUGGAGGGCUUGAGUGUCGGAGAGGGUAGUGGAAUUCCCAGUGUAGCGGUGAAAUGCGUAGAUAUUGGGAGGAACACCAGUGGCGAAGGCGACUACCUGGACGAUAACUGACGCUGAGGCACGAAAGCUAGGGGAGCAAACAG